rnacentral:tRNA from 1 species
GGUGGCUCAGUGGUAGAGCGUUAGCCUUGCAUGCAUGAGGCCCUGGGUUCAAUUCCUCAGCACCA